rnacentral:misc_RNA from 1 species
GAUGAAGAACGUAGCGAAAUGUGAUAAGUAAUGUGAAUUGCAGAAUUCAGUGAAUCAUCGAAUCUUUGAACGCACCUUGCGCUCCUUGGUAUUCCAAAGAGCAUGCCUGUUUGAGUAUCAUUAAAUUAUCAACUGUACCAAUUUGGUUGCAGAUUGGAUGUGGGAGAUUUUGCAGGCUUUUGAUUUCUCUUUGAGAAAACGGUCAGCUCUCCUGAAAUAUAUUAGCAGUGCCUUUGUUGGUUCAUUAGGUGUGAUAAUUUAUCUACAUCUUCACAUGGUACCUUCAUUUGUGUAAAGGUCAUAUUGCUUCUAAUUGUCUUUGGACAUAAAAAAAAAAAAACAUAUAAUUGUAUGGAAAACUUGAUCUCAAAUCAGGCAGGACUACCCGCUGAACUUAAGCAUAUCAAUAAGCGGAGGA